CGGGACACGUGGUAUCCUGUCUGAAUAUGGGGGGACCAUCCUCCAAGGCUAAAUACUCCUGACUGACCGAUAGUGAACCAGUACCGUGAGGGAAAGGCGAAAAGAACCCCGGCGAGGGGAGUGAAAAAGAACCUGAAACCGUGUACGUACAAGCAGUGGGAGCACGCUUAGGCGUGUGACUGCGUACCUUUUGUAUAAUGGGUCAGCGACUUAUAUUCUGUAGCAAGGUUAACCGAAUAGGGGAGCCGAAGGGAAACCGAGUCUUAACUGGGCGUUAAGUUGCAGGGUAUAGACCCGAAACCCGGUGAUCUAGCCAUGGGCAGGUUGAAGGUUGGGUAACACUAACUGGAGGACCGAACCGACUAAUGUUGAAAAAUUAGCGGAUGACUUGUGGCUGGGGGUGAAAGGCCAAUCAAACCGGGAGAUAGCUGGUUCUCCCCGAAAGCUAUUUAGGUAGCGCCUCGUGAAUUCAUCUCCGGGGGUAGAGCACUGUUUCGGCAAGGGGGUCAUCCCGACUUACCAACCCGAUGCAAACUGCGAAUACCGGAGAAUGUUAUCACGGGAGACACACGGCGGGUGCUAACGUCCGUCGUGAAGAGGGAAACAACCCAGACCGCCAGCUAAGGUCCCAAAGUCAUGGUUAAGUGGGAAACGAUGUGGGAAGGCCCAGACAGCCAGGAUGUUGGCUUAGAAGCAGCCAUCAUUUAAAGAAAGCGUAAUAGCUCACUGGUCGAGUCGGCCUGCGCGGAAGAUGUAACGGGGCUAAACCAUGCACCGAAGCUGCGGCAGCGACGCUGAUGCGUUGUUGGGUAGGGGAGCGUUCUG
rnacentral:rRNA from 1 species